GAGCUGUGAGGAUAUUGGCUUCAGCGAUGGUUGGGUCCUUCGCAUUCUUCUGAUUAUCAGACGAUAUAUGGCCUUGGUCUGAGCUC
rnacentral:snoRNA from 1 species